UACGUAGGGGGCAAGCGUUGUCCGGAAUUAUUGGGCGUAAAGCGCGCGCAGGCGGCUGAUUAAGUCUCAUGUUUAAACGCGGGGCUCAACCUCGUGUCGGAUGGGAAACUGGUCAGCUUGAGUGCAGGAGAGGGAAGCGGAAUUCCACGUGUAGCGGUGAAAUGCGUAGAGAUGUGGAGGAACACCAGUGGCGAAGGCGGCUUUCUGGUCUGUAACUGACGCUGAGGCGCGAAAGCGUGGGGAGCAAACA
rnacentral:rRNA from 1 species